UCACCCUAAAGCACUCCUUUCCACAGCCCAGCAUGUCUCUGGGAAGGAAAAACAGGAUGGAACAGAAAUGAAUAAGAGAAAUAAUGGAAAGCAUGCUCUUCUCACUAAUUAGAGGAGGACUGAGCUGGUGGUCUUUUUGAAGCAGUACAUCCUGCCAUUUUUACACCGUCUUUUUUUAAAAAAGAUGAGGGAUGGAGGCACCGCAGGAAUAUGUAACACAGCACCUUGAAACUCUGACACUGGACUGAUUUUAUGGGCCCUGAUGUUUCUGUUAGACGCAAGCUGCCAACCUGUACCUGAAACCCCAACUGUGCCCGGACCCAGCCAAAGCCACAUUGUCAACUUGACUCUGUUCUUCUAAAACUAUAAAUUUUCCAACUUAGCUCUGUGAAGAGUGACAUAAAGUUUCACAUACGUGGUGAGCUGUUUUAUAGGCCCUCAGAUCUAAGAGCAGUGGCAGCCAUACUGUUGGCAGUGAGACCUGAUGAGAAACCAGCCUGGUUCUGAAAUAAUAAUUAUAAUAAGAACAAUGACAUUGAAAUGGACAGACAUUCUCCAGGGAGAACCAGGACUGGUGGGGAAUCAGAGAGGAUGAGAGCCCAAGAAUUCACAUGGGGAAGGCCACUGUUACUUGAAAGAUGAGCAUCCCUAUUCCCACAGCCUCAGAAGAGUGUCUAAGGAUGUGCUCCUUUUUCCCCCUUUCCUCAUCAAAUAAAAGAAGAUUUAUCACAGGCCCAAGUGA